rnacentral:lncRNA from 1 species
UCACCUGUUUCUGCCUUUAUCCUGAUCAAUUUAAAGAAUCUGAAGCCAACUCAGUCUACUUCUAAAAGAUAAGUCAGUCCUUUUUUCAAAUACCAAAUAGAACAGAUUCAUGAUCAGAUUUUGCCAAGACCUGUCAAUAUCACCAAGUGCUGCCCCUGGAAAUGACUACCACUGCGCAUCAUUCAGUUCUGACCUGGACUAGGCGGGAAGAAAAGUGAGCCCCUACAGGUCUCGACGUCUUGACGAAGAAUGACAGCAGCCACCCUGGAUCAAGAGCAAGACAGAGGAUGAGGCUGCUGCCUUGCAAGACAAAGCCUAGAAAUGGAGGGACCAGGAGCCUCUGCGGCAUUGCUGGGUUGCUGAAUCCACUCUUGCAGGGAACCCAGAACAUGCUGAAUGUUUCAAUUACACAAGG